CAAUUUUUAUCUGUGUUUUAUGUUGGUGUGCAUUUGAGAGUUUAUGAAGUGGUUCUCUAUCAUUCAUAUUUGUAUGCCCUAUAACUGCAAGCUCAUUCAGAAUUUCCUGCUUCAUUUCAAUGAUUUUCUGUGUUGUUCAACAAAUAUGUGGUCUUCAAA